GGACGUAGGGCGCGAGCGUUGUCCGGAUUUAUUGGGCGUAAAGAGCUCGUAGGCGGCUUGUCGCGUCGACUGUGAAAUCCCGCGGCUCAACUGCGGGUCUGCAGUCGAUACGGGGCAGGCUAGAGUUCGGUAGGGGAGACUGGAAUUCCUGGUGUAGCGGGUGAAAUGCGGCAGAUAUCAGGAGGAACACCGGUGGCGAAGGCGGG
rnacentral:rRNA from 1 species